rnacentral:rRNA from 1 species
UACGGAGGGUGCAAGCGUUAUCCGGAUUUACUGGGUUUAAAGGGUGUGUAGGCGGACAAUUAAGUCCGUGGUGAAAUCUCCAGGCUCAACCCGGAAACUGCCAUGGAUACUAUUUGUCUUGAAUAUUGUUGAGGUGGGCGGAACGGGUCAUGUAGCGGUGAAAUGCAUAGAUAUGACCCGGAACACCGAUUGCGAAGGCAGCCCACUAAGCAAUGAUUGACGCUGAGGCACGAAAGCGUGGGGAUCAAACAGG